UGGAGGAGCAGGGAUUAGAUGGGGUAACCUGAUCCCAGUGGCACAGGGGUGGGGAGACCGUUCAGCCACUCGGGGAUCCCGGUGGCCUCUGCCUACCUAAAGAGUCACAGGACAGCCGUAAUAAGCCUCCCUCAAUGCCUGCUUUGUGUGGCCCAGGAUAAUGAUUUACUAACUACAGGAAUCGGGAGGUGUGAAAGAAGAUGGCUUUCUUAACCCCCAUUGUCUCCCGGCUGGAAUGUCUCUCCGCCCGCCCCACUGCACCUGUGCACACGGUAGAGGAUGGCGCAGGUGAAGAGGGUCCAGCUGGCUGUCCCUAUGCUUUCUUUCCAAAGAUUGGAUGGAGUGGGAGCCUGCUCAGCGUUUCUUGGAAGUGAAGCUGCCCAUGAGAACCCAGUCAUCGGGCCCAGCCACACUGUGCUCCAGUCCCCAAAGAUCACCAGCCACACUGAGCUCUGGAGGCUUGGAGUAGGAGCGGCCUGGGGACUGUCACUGGGAGAGCAGCUAAUGGAGUGAUGAGAGAGCGUCGCCUACUAGUCUGGAGCUGUCGCAUGUGGCCGCCUGGCUGACCAGAGGGCAGGACCUGGGCGGGGCUGGAGACGCCUGCAGGGCCUGGCCCAGCUGCUCGGCCUGCAGUGCACACCCCUGUGCGCACAUAGGCGCUUAGGGUACACGGUGAGGAGAUUUGACUUGCAGAUCAGCGCAACCUGCAGUUGAGGAGAGAGUUGGGAGCACUCAAUGACUCUAGGCACGUUCCCUCUGCUCUCAGAGCCUCUGUUUCCCCUCCUGUGCCACAAGGUACAGUGCAGGUGUUUGCAAACUCCCACGGACAACCUAAGCUCACCGUCUGGUCCCCAGAGGGGAUCCUCAUGUCAUGGAAAGGCUACUGUCCUCCCUGGAAAUCUCCACUUGCCCAAAGGUUGUUGGGACUGGUUGUUGGGACAGGCAGCACACACAGAGGCUGCCACUGACAGACAUAGGGUAUGAUGUGCUGGGUGCAGCCAGGAAGCUGCAGGCCCCCCUCAGCCCAUCCUACUGUCUCUGUGCAAGUCGGGAACAGCAGUGUUCCCACUGCAAAAGGACAGACAGAAGCAGCCGCGGCUGCCCUCAAGGCUUCUGCGCACCAGCCCAACCCUGGCCAGAGUUCCUGAGUCAUACACACACACACACACACACACACACACACACACACCCCUCCUGUCUCCUCCCCCAGGGCCGUGGGAGGCGCAGCUUGUGCCCAACAGGCUCCCUCUGGCUUGUGAGUUGGUGUGAGGGCCGCUAUCCAAGACGGCUACCUCCUGCUGGUUACUUACUGUGGACACCACAGGCCUCCAGCUUCUGCUUCUCCAGGCCAGACUCUCUGCUGUCCCAGGGGACCUGGAUUCUGACCCUCCCUGUGACUCAGAGACAGCGUGGGGACAGACAGAUCGGGUGCGAGGUGCUGGGGCCUACCUCCCCGUACCGAUAGCUUCCCCAUAUUCUCUCUCACCCCAGUGUGAUAGGGUCUCAGGGGGCCACACCACCCUUCACUCCGAAAGUGAAGCAACGGGCUAAGAUCGGUGGUGUGUUUAUCUACUUCUUCCCUUAUGCUGGGGCUCCCUGUGGACAGCGCAAUUGAAGGAAGGGGCACUGACAGGACGAACUUGGGGAUCAUUAGGCCAAUAAAAUCAUCUGUAGGUCCUCAGUUGCUAGCCCAGGAUAAGUCUUUGAAGGAUGAUUUUCUUCCUUUGCUUUUUAAAAUCUGGAGGAUAGGUUGUUCACAAAAACAGAUCUUUAAAGGGGGUGGAAAGUUAAAACAAUCAAGACUCAUACCAAUACCCUGCCGUGAAUAUACUCAUUAUGUCACAAAUAUAUACUAAUAAAUUUUUUAAAAACA